CGAAGGGCGACUCACAGCAUCCCGAAGGACUCCCCUCAGGAGCCCAGAGGGCUUUCAAAGGGCUCUCCACGGAGUUACAAGGAAGAAUCACUUGGCAUCCGAAUACUACUUGUGAGCUGUGCCCAGCUGACUCGAGACGCUCCAAUUCUCCAUUUCCCAGAGAAAUGGUUUUGCAGGGCGCCGUCGUGAAUCUAGAAAACACAGAACAGAGCAGGUAAACAAACAUCCUAAAAGAUGAUCCCGUCUCAGACCUUGAUCCUGCAAACCCUCACGGGCUUAAUGUCAAGCACAUGAACAGUCCCAGAUGACUUCAGCAGAGCUACUCGCAUGCUCAUAGUGCAGAGCAUUUGCCAGAUCAGAGCCUUUAUGUCUAAUUGCAAAAUAAAAGGCAAGUCUCCC
rnacentral:lncRNA from 12 species